AUGGCGCCGUCCUACGACAAGACCAUCGCCACGGCGGCCUCCCUCGCGGCGUCCCUCAUGCUCGUCCGCAGCCUCGCGAGCGAGCUGCUGCCGGCCGAGGUGCGCGGGGCCCUCUCCGCGGCGAUCGCCGGCCUCCGCUCGCGCAUGACAUGGCAGCACACCAUCGUCAUCGAGGAGACCGAGGGCUGGUCCAGCAACCGCGUCUACAACGCCGUCAAGGCCUACCUGGCCACGCGCAUCAACGCCAAUAUCAACAUGCAGCGCCUGCGCGUCAGCAGCGCCGGCGAACCUGAGAAGAUGGUCGUCAGCAUGGAGGCGGGCGAGGAGAUGACAGAUGUGUAUCAAGGAGCGGAGUUCAAGUGGUGCCUGGUCACCCGCGAGGUCAGUGGCGACCCGAACAACGGCGGUGUCGGUGCCCGGGAGAUCAGGUCCUACGAGGUGAGCUUCAACAAGAGGCACAAGGAGAAGGCCCUGAAAGAGUAUCUCCCAUUCAUCGUCACCACGGCUAAGGCCAUCAAGGACCAGGAGAGGAGCCUCAGCAUCUACAUGAACGAACGCUACGACGAGUGGUCCCCAAUUGACCUCCAACAUCCCUCCACGUUUGACACGCUAGCCAUGGACCAGAAGCAGAAGCAGUCAAUUGUCGACGACCUCGACAGGUUCAUCAAGAGGAAAGAGUACUACAGGAAGAUCGGCAAGGCGUGGAAGCGCGGGUACCUGUUGUACGGCCCGCCGGGCACCGGCAAGUCCAGCCUCAUCGCCGCCAUUGCCAACCACCUCAGGUUUGACAUUUACGACCUCGAGCUGACCGGGGUCAAUUCCAACUCGGACCUCAGGAGGCUUCUCGUCGGGAUGACCAACCGGUCCAUUCUCGUUGUUGAGGACAUCGACUGCACCAUUGAACUGGAGCAGCGGGAGGAAGAUGACGAGGAGGAUUCCAAAUCCAAUUCUACAGAAAAGAAGGCACAAGACAAGGUCACAUUGUCUGGGCUGCUCAAUUUUGUAGAUGGCUUGUGGUCGACAAGUGGGGAGGAAAGGAUCCUCAUCUUCACGACCAAUUACAAGGAGCGUCUCGACCCAGCACUUCUGCGGCCUGGCAGGAUGGACAUGCACAUCCACAUGGGGUACUGCACCACAGAGGCCUUACAGAUCCUUGCCAAUAACUACCAUUCCAUUGACUACCAUGUCACCUAUCCUGAGAUUGAGGCGUUGAUCGAGGAGGUCACGGUGACGCCUGCAGAGGUCGCCGAGGUUCUGAUGAGGAGCGAUGACACUGAUGUUGCCCUCCAUGAUCUUGUCGAGCUCCUGAAAUUGAAGAAGAAAGAUGCCAUUGAGAUCAAGACUGGAAGUAAGCAGGCGGAGGAGAAUAAAGACGCCAAUGAGAUCAAGACCGGAAGUAAGCAGGCAGAGGAGAAAGACACCAAUGAGAUCAAGACAGAAAAUAUGGAAGUGGACGGGAAGAAAUAUGGCAAUGAGAUCAAGACUGAAAGUGUGCAGGUAGAGGAGAAGAAAGAUGACAAAGAAGCGGUGGUGAAGAAUGAGCUCACAGAAAACGGAAGCGGCUAG
rnacentral:rRNA from 1 species